CUACCCCGCUGAACUUAAGCAUAUCAAUAAGCGGA
rnacentral:rRNA from 1 species